rnacentral:rRNA from 1 species
ACUCCUACGGGAGGCAGCAGUGGGGAAUAUUGCACAAUGGGCGCAAGCCUGAUGCAGCCAUGCCGCGUGUGUGAAGAAGGCCUUCGGGUUGUAAAGCACUUUCAGUCGUGAGGAAGGUAGUGUAGUUAAUAGCUGCAUUAUUUGACGUUAGCGACAGAAGAAGCACCGGCUAACUCCGUGCCAGCAGCCGCGGUAAUACGGAGGGUGCGAGCGUUAAUCGGAAUUACUGGGCGUAAAGCGCAUGCAGGUGGUUUGUUAAGUCAGAUGUGAAAGCCCGGGGCUCAACCUCGGAAUUGCAUUUGAAACUGGCAGACUAGAGUACUGUAGAGGGGGGUAGAAUUUCAGGUGUAGCGGUGAAAUGCGUAGAGAUCUGAAGGAAUACCGGUGGCGAAGGCGGCCCCCUGGACAGAUACUGACACUCAGAUGCGAAAGCGUGGGGAGCGAAACAGGAUUAGAUACCC